AGCUGACACCUGUCCAUAGUGUUGCCAGGCAUCUGGUUUUCGACUGGAAUGCCCGGUUGGAAAGGGACCCUAGCAGCUCUGGUUGGCACCAUCGACCUGGAUGUUAAAAGUCUGGUC